GAUGAACGCUGGCGGCGUGCCUAAUACAUGCAAGUCGAGCGAACGGACGAGAAGCUUGCUUCUCUGAUGUUAGCGGCGGACGGGUGAGUAACACGUGGAUAACCUACCUAUAAGACUGGGAUAACUUCGGGAAACCGGAGCUAAUACCGGAUAAUAUUUUGAACCGCAUGGUUCAAUAGUGAAAGACGGUUUUGCUGUCACUUAUAGAUGGAUCCGCGCUGCAUUAGCUAGUUGGUAAGGUAACGGCUUACCAAGGCAACGAUGCAUAGCCGACCUGAGAGGGUGAUCGGCCACACUGGAACUGAGACACGGUCCAGACUCCUACGGGAGGCAGCAGUAGGGAAUCUUCCGCAAUGGGCGAAAGCCUGACGGAGCAACGCCGCGUGAGUGAUGAAGGUCUUCGGAUUGUAAAACUCUGUUAUUAGGGAAGAACAUAUGUGUAAGUAACUGUGCACAUCUUGACGGUACCUAAUCAGAAAGCCACGGCUAACUACGUG
rnacentral:rRNA from 1 species